UACGAAGGGGGCUAGCGUUGUUCGGAAUUACUGGGCGUAAAGCGCACGUAGGCGGAUUUGCCAGUCAGGGGUGAAAUCCCGGGGCUCAACCUCGGAACUGCCCUUGAUACAGCAAAUCUUGAGUCCGGAAGAGGUGGGUGGAAUUCCUAGUGUAGAGGUGGAAUUCGUAGAUAUUAGGAAGAACACCAGUGGCGAAGGCGGCUCACUGGACCGGAACUGACGCUGAGGCGCGAAAGCGUGGGGAGCAAACAGG
rnacentral:rRNA from 1 species